GAUGAACGCUGGCGGCGUGCCUAAUACAUGCAAGUCGAGCGAACAGACGAGGAGCUUGCUCCUCUGACGUUAGCGGCGGACGGGUGAGUAACACGUGGAUAACCUACCUAUAAGACUGGGAUAACUUCGGGAAACCGGAGCUAAUACCGGAUAAUAUAUUGAACCGCAUGGCUCAAUAGUGAAAGACGGUUUUGCUGUCACUUAUAGAUGGAUCCGCGCCGCAUUAGCUAGUUGGUAAGGUAACGGCUUACCAAGGCAACGAUGCGUAGCCGACCUGAGAGGGUGAUCGGCCACACGGGAAAUGAGACACGGACCAGACUCCUACGGAAGGCAGCAGUAGGGAAUCUUCCGCAAUGGGAGAAAGCUUGACGGAGCAACGCCGCGUGAGUGAUGAAGGUCUUCGGAUCGUAAAACUCUGUUAUUAGGGAAGAACAAAUGUGUAAGUAACUAUGCACGUCUUGACGGUACCUAAGCAGAAAACCACGGCUAACUACGU
rnacentral:rRNA from 1 species